ACGGGGAAUUAGGGUUCGAUUCCGGAGAGGGAGCCUGAGAGAUGGCUACCACUUCCAAGGAAGGCAGCAGGCGCGCAAAUUACCCAAUGUUAAUACAAUGAGGUAGCGACGAGAAAUAACGAUGCCGAUCUUUAGGGGUUGGUAAUCGUCAUGAGCACAAAGUAAAUAUCUUAACGAGGAACAAUUGGAGGACAAGUCUGGUGCCAGCACCCGCGGUAAUUCCAGCUCCAAUAGCGUAUAUUAAAGUUGUUGCAGUUAAAAAGCUCGUAGUCUGAAUUGAAGGGUCUGCGGGUUUGGCUGGCAUUAAAAGUCAGUCAGGCCGGGGUCCUUAAUGCUUGAGGACGGAUUCUGCACUUAAUUGGGUGGAGUACGGACUCAGGCCUUUUACCUUGAAGAAAUUGGAGUGUUCCAAGCAAGCGGCAAUGUCUGCACAUACUAGCAUGGGAUAAUGGAACACGAAGUCACCGAGGUCAGUGGGGAAACCUUGAUGGCUUAAUGAUAGAUAGGGGCUGCGGGGGUGGUUGAUAUUUAGCGGCUAGAGGUGAAAUUCUUAGAUUCGCUAAAGACCCACAGGAGCGAAGGCGUUCCACUACAAAGCCUCCGUUGAUCAAGAACGAAAGUUAGGGGAUCGAAGACGAUCAGAUACCGUCGUAGUCUUAACCUUAAACUAUACGAACCGAAGAUUGGGCAACGAUCGUUAUUCGACUUGCUCAGGACUCUGUGGGAAACCAUUGAGUCUUUGCGUUCUGGGGGGAGUAUGGUCGCAAGGCUGAAACUUAAAGGAAUUGACGGAAGAUCACCACCAGGAGUGGAACCUGCGGCUUAAUUUGACUCAACACGGGAAAACUCACUCGGUCAGGACAUAGGCAGGAUUGACAGAUUGAAAGCUCUUUCUUAAUUUCUAUGGGUGGUGGUGCAUGGUCGUUCUUAGUUGGUGGAGUGAUUUGUCUGGUUAAUUCCGAUAACGAACGAGACCUCAGCUUGUUAACUAGUGUUGCCUAACCUCUAACAGUUGAAGCAUUUCAGUUGGUGGCUUGGCCGCAAGGUCAGGUUCAUCUGCUGGGGUGUGGAAGCUUGAGGCUUGGGUGAUAUUCUACUUCUUAAAAGGACUGUUGGCGUCUAGCCAAAGGAAGAGAGCCAAUAACAGGUCUGUGAUGCCCUUAGAUGUUCGAGGCUGCACGCGCGUUACACUGAUAUCGGCAGCGAGCUUUUUCUGGCCUAAAGGGGCUGGGAAAACUUUUGAAACCAUAUCGUGACAGGGAUCGAUCAUUGUAAUUAUUGGUCGUGAACGAGGAAUUCCUAGUAGGCGCAAGUCACUACCUUGCGUCGAUUACGUCCCUGGUCUUUGUACACACCGCCCGUCGCUCCUACCGAUUGGAUGAUCCGGUGAGUUGGUUGGACACUUGGGGUCAACAGUCUCGAAAGGGGCUGUCUCGAGUGAAAAAUCUGCAAACCUUAUUAUCUAGAGGAAGGAGAAGUCGUAACAAGGUC
rnacentral:rRNA from 1 species